GGUAUGACUCUCGGCAAUGGAUAUCUCGACUCUCACAUCGACGAAUAACUUAGCAAAAUGCAACACGUUGUGUGAAUUGCAGAAUCCCAUGAGCCAUUGAGUCUUUGAACGCAAGUUGCGCCUGAAGCCAUCCGACCGAGGGCAUGCCUACCUGGGCGUCAUGC
rnacentral:rRNA from 1 species